ensembl:lncRNA
AGGGAUUUCAAUCAAAAUGCUGUUUGUGAAGAGGCUUUAACUGUUUUAUUUCUCACUUAAUAACUCAUCUAUUUGGUUAUUAGUACAAUUAAAGAAAGGCACUGCUGGGAUUCGAACCCAGGAUCUCCUGUUUACAAGACAGGCGCUUUAACCAACUAAGCCACAGCACCACAGCACUGUACUUCAACACUCCAGUUUUGCAGGACUUUCGUCCCUAAAGGUGUUUCUGUGAAUGAACCUCAAGUAGAAUCGAGGUUCAGUGUAAACAACAACAGUCAACACCAGUUUUUGAAAAGGAAAUAAAGUCAGAGCAACAAAAUCACGUAAAGAACCGACCGUCAGCUUCAUCACUUCUGUUUUACCAGAAAUCCACCUGAGACCCGAGGUUCCUCCACUGAGCAGCACUUCCGUCAGGACGGAUCGGCCGGCGUGAGGACGAACGUAAUUGGACCGACAAGUGACACAUAUGUGGAAACCAGAAGAUGAUGGCGGAGACGACUCGGAUCAUGUGACCUGCACCUCACAUGCCUCCUCCAAGUACCCUCAAGCCAGAGACCAGAAAUGCAACGAUGAAGCUGCCAAAUGAGAAUUCCUUCGUUCAUC